rnacentral:rRNA from 1 species
UGGGGAAUCUUCUGCAAUGGGCGAAAGCCUGACGGAGCAACGCCGCGUGAGUGAAGACGGCCUUCGGGUUGUAAAGCUCUGUUAUACGGGACGAAUAAUCUUGUGGUUAAUACCCAUGAGAAGUGACGGUACCGUAAGAGAAAGCCACGGCUAACUACGUGCCAGCAGCCGCGGUAAUACGUAGGUGGCAAGCGUUGUCCGGAAUUAUUGGGCGUAAAGGGCGCGCAGGCGGCUUCUUAAGUCUGUCUUAAAAGUGCGGGGCUUAACCCCGUGAUGGGAUGGAAACUGGGAAGCUCAGAGUAUCGGAGAGGAAAGCGGAAUUCCUAGUGUAGCGGUGAAAUGCGUAGAUAUUAGGAGGAACACCAGUGGCGAAAGCGGCUUUCUGGACGAAAACUGACGCUGAGGCGCGAAAGCCAGGGGAGCGAACGGGAUUAGAUACCCCGGUAGUCCUGGCCGUAAACGAUGGGUACUAGGUGUAGGAGGUAUCGACCCCUUCUGUGCCGGAGUUAACGCAAUAAGUACCCCGCCUGGGGAGUACGGCCGCAAGGUU